AACGAACGCUGGCGGCAGGCUUAACACAUGCAAGUCGAGCGCAUCCUUCGGGGUGAGCGGCAGACGGGUGAGUAACACGUGGGAACGUACCCUUUUCUACGGAAUAACGCAGGGAAACUUGUGCUAAUACCGUAUGUGCCCUUCGGGGGAAAGAUUUAUCGGAAAAGGAUCGGCCCGCGUUGGAUUAGCUAGUUGGUGGGGUAAAGGCCUACCAAGGCGACGAUCCAUAGCUGGUCUGAGAGGAUGAUCAGCCACAUUGGGACUGAGACACGGCCCAAACUCCUACGGGAGGCAGCAGUGGGGAAUAUUGGACAAUGGGCGCAAGCCUGAUCCAGCCAUGCCGCGUGAGUGAUGAAGGCCUUAGGGUUGUAAAGCUCUUUCACCGAUGAAGAUAAUGACGGUAGUCGGAGAAGAAGCCCCGGCUAACUUCGUGCCAGCCGCCGCCGUAAAAC
rnacentral:rRNA from 1 species